GAUCAUGGCUCAGAUUGAACGCUGGCGGCAUGCCUUACACAUGCAAGUCGAACGGCAACAGGUCUUCGGACGCUGACGAGUGGCGAACGGGUGAGUAAUACAUCGGAACGUGCCCAGUCUGGGGGAUAACUACUCGAAAGAGUAGCUAAUACCGCAUACGAUCUGAGGAUGAAAGCGGGGGACCUUCGGCCGUCGCGCGAUUGAGCGGCCGGAUGGCAGAUUAGGUAGUUGGUGGG
rnacentral:rRNA from 1 species